GUGGUUGUAGCUCAGUUGGUCAGAGCGUCUGGUUGUGGUCCAGAAGGUCGCGGGUUCGAUCCCCGUCAUCCACCCCA
rnacentral:tRNA from 1 species